GCAAGCGUCGUAUAAUGGUUAGUACAUCAGCCUUCCACGCUGAGAGCGAGGGUUCGACUCCCUUCACUUGCUCCA
rnacentral:tRNA from 1 species